GCCGCGCUGCCUGAGACGAUGCUCUUACGUCUGCAGGGGAGGUUUCAAGGCCUGCUGGAGUCAGCGGCUGCCUUGCCGCCCUGGGAGAGUUCAGUUCGAGGCCAGGUUCUGCAGAAUCCUGAGGUGGCAUCACGAGCAUCUCCUCAGUCCCUUGGCCGUGACAGCUCCUCCUCCACCCUCCAUCCUGGAUGAGCCGGUGAAGAUGGUUCUUCCUCAGAAAUAACUGCAACGCACUGGUCCCCCUCUCAAAAGCCUAGGAAGCUCCCCUAUGCUUCAAAACCCAAGAGCUCUGCCUGGUUUUCUCCAAGUCUCCCCCCACCCCCAAAUGGCCAUUUCCUCUCCCCAUGAUUGCCUGCACAUGUUUCAGUGAAAAAAUUAUGAUUGGUCCCUAUACAGGGGCUGUGGCAGGUGAAAAAGAAGGAGUCAGCUGUCAACCUGCAAGUCAACAGCGGCCUCUCCAUACAGGGGAUCUUCCAUUCCUGCCUUUGAGCUUGGCCGCCCCCACAACAGGGCUGUGAAGACGUGGCUGCACCCCCCAGUGCCCCUGACCUUGAGAGCAAAGUGAGAAGAGAAAGAAAAAGAGGAGCGAGAAGAUGACCUCCUAGGACCCCUGCCCCAGGGAAGCCCUGUUCCUCAGAUGCGCAUCACAGACCCCAGGGGCCUUUUCCUCUAGAAGGUGUCCACACAAACAGCCAUGGGGCCCUCUAAAGGUGGCUCCCUUCGCACAGGAGAACACUCAACCACACGGACCCACUGAGGACACACGUGUGCAGCGUGAGCAUUGCCAUCAGUGCUGCGUGACAGUCACCUCUUCUCCAGACCCUGCUUGGAGUCCCUGACCCGUCUCACCAUCACGUGAUCUCAAGUUUAUUGAAGGAAAUCAGAUGCAGCAGCAAACAUGCUUCUCAGGCUCAGAAACAAAACCCUCGCCACUGAGCUGAUGAGUGUCUCUGUGCUUCUGAACAGUGUGGACAAGGUUAAUGAAUGAGGCCCAGGCAGGCCUGUGGGCUCCUUCAAUCGGGGCAUCGAAAGCCUGGGAAGUUUUAACAGAGGCUGUUGAUGGGCAUGUUUCAAAGCAAACAGCAUCAGGGCCCUGACAGGCCAAUGACAGCACCGUGCAGUGCCGGGGGGGGCCCGGGAGGCACAGCCACAGAGCCCAGCCCUGGGGACACGGGACCUGGGUGGGGGGGCAGAGCCACAGAGCCCAGCCCUGGGGACACGGGACCGAGGGGCCACAGCCACAGAGCCUAGCCUGCACUGGGGAUACAGGGCCCAGGGUGCACAGCCACAGAACCCAGCCUGCCCUGGGACAUGGGGCGGAGCCUGAGGGUGGCUGGGGUCAGGCAGCCCUGUCCUCGUCCCCAACACUCCACAUCCCCAGGGUAGCUGGAGACCCAAGCUGAUGACUCGGACGCAGGACAGGAAAGGACAUAAGUGACUGACAAGCUCCAGGCCUGUCCUGACAGGAUCAGAGGGGAGGCAGGAAGGGCCCUCCAUGGCAGGCAGGUGGGGCGCCUCUGCAGAAACCAUAGCAGGUUACAGAGAAGAAUCGAAAAGAGGCCAUGCGGCUGGGGGCAGAGGGGAGGGCCCCCAUGAGAUGAGGAGGCACUCAUCGCGGGAGAGCCAAUGGAGAGAGAUGAAGAUGCGGACGCUGCUCUGGCCAUAAAACCAGGUACGCAUCUCAGGGGUCUCAAGAUGCUUUCUUUAUUGUAGAUUUUAAAUCUCCAGGUGAAGGGUUGUCCAUGGAUCUUCCCCUGGGCACCUUCUAACGCAACAGACCGCUUGUCUGGUUCCCAAAUGUCACACUGCGUGGGGAUGAGAUGGAAUCCCACACAGUGCCUCAGGAAGAACUAGAAACUGCGAAACUCCCAAACAACCCGAUAACCACGCAGCUGCUGCAGCAAAGUAUGAACACAGCCAGGUGAAAGGCCCACUUCCUCCGGCUCCCCAGCCUGCACUGACACCCACUCCAAAGACAGCUCAGGCCUUCCUAGAAAAGGCAGGUCCUGACCUAGGCUAACACUUGUAGGUAAAUUCUUGGAUAUGAACUACACGCCCUUCAACACUGAUAUUUCUAUAAAGAGAAGGUCAAAUAAAAAUAUAAGCAAUCUUGCAAAAUUUCUCAACAUUUGGGGAGAUCUCUUAUCUCCCCUUAAAUAUUGCAAAUUUUUUUGCAACAGAGACCAUAUUUUAUCACUCUGAUGUUUAUGACAAAUUGGUAGGAAGUCUAAAAAUCUCAUUUUAGAGACGGAAAUUGAGACCCAGAGAAAGGCUUCUCCUGCUAAACAACUGUUAUCUGGUUUGGAGAGAAAAAGAGAGCUAAUACAGGCUAGAAAACACAUUUUUAGAGAAUGGUUGAAGAUGAAAGAGUUAUUACAAAGCCUAGCAGAUGUUAACAUGUUAUAAGUACAUAAAAGAAUUUAAAGCUACAGUGAUCUUUUCAAACAUUAUAUGAUUAGUUUGGUUCAUAUGCUGGUCAUGAAAAGGAAUUUAUUUCAGUGUAAUCUAAGAUUUAUACCAGCUGUGGUAGGCAGUCAUAGUCCCUCAAAAACAUCCUCAUCCCCAUCCCAGGCCCUGCAACUGCGUAACACUCCAUGGUGAGGGAUUAAAGCUUCAGGGAAAGGAGGUAGCUACCCAGCUGACCUUGAAAUAGGGAGGCUGUCCUGGAUCAUCUGGGUGUACCCCAUGUAACCUCAAGGGCCCUUACAUGGAAGCUGGCAGAAGAGGCAGAGGGAGACUGGACAAGGGAAGGAUGGGGUAGGUGGGGCCAUCUGUGGCUGUGAGGAUGGGAGGGACCUCCAAGGGGGUCCCGGAGGCUGGAAGGGAAAUGGCAUCUCCCCAGAGCUGCCAGAAGGGGCCCGGCUAUCACUGAGCGGACACCGCGUCGGACUCUAACCCACAGACUGUGAAAUAACAAACCUGUGUUCAGCCUCUGAGUCUGUGUUCGUGACAGCAGCCCCAGGAAACUCACACAGCAGCUUUCGCCAAUAAAUAGAUUUUCCUAUUUCUCAGAAAAUUCUAUAAUAUCCUGUAUAAGUACAUAUUUUCCUGUACUGCUCAGGACACUGUCCUGAUAAGAAGCUAUCGAUAGAUAGAAAAUCAAUAGGUAGAAAAAGUUAAAAUACUGGCUUUUUAACUAAAGAUAAUGUCUGGUGAAGGUUUGUUCUUAGAAGAGAAGUUUGCAAAGUGUUUCGUCCUGGCAUCACUGGCGAGCGUCUUUGAAGAUCUGCAAAGGCGCAUGUUGGGCAGCCCCCCGGGAGCUUCCAUUCACUUUCCCAGGGUUUCACGCCCCUGCCCUGCUCCCUGACGCUGGCAGGAAGGCCAUCAGGUGCUCCGUGUGGGAUGAAUUGUGAGAAUCCAGCGAGUGCAGGCAAGGGAGACAAAUGAGAGUAACAGAGGCCGGAGGGGGACCUGGAGAGCCAGAGCCCUGGGGAAGAGAAAAGGGGAGCGAUUAGAACAACGGGAAACAGAUCAGCACAGAAGAGAGAAAAGACAGAACGAAGUUGUGCAGGAGGACUGAGAAGGCACCUGGAGACAUGGGGAGGGAACGGCUGACUUCUUUCCAGCCAGAACUGAGGCUGGCCCUUGUCUGAGUCAGGCGGGCAGGGCCCGUGGGAGGGACAGAGACACCAGUGGGGUGGGGGUGUGCGGUGGUGUUGCCCUUUCCCACCCCAGGCCCCUACGAUGUCGCCCUGCACAGGCUGCGUGGCUGUACUGAGUGUUUCCUUGAAAAACAACACGGUGCAAUUUGGACUAUCGCAGUUUCACUGGAAGUCUUUGAAUACAAACCAAAGCCUACGUGUUUUUUUAUACCUGAUGUGUACAUAUAUUCACAAAACAAAGCAAUUCUUUUUUUCCCAGAAAGGCAGGAAGAAAACAAAUGAUCUCAAAUGUGUCUUCUAUGAACAUUUUUGGCGGAGUUUGAACCAUAUUUUGUCUAGGCAGGCCUUGCACACCGGAAAGACCUCCGAGAAAACCUGUUUCUUCUCUUUCUCAUGUGGUCUCUGGUUUACCAGCUAACAGAAAUAACUUCAGGGGAAGAAAGAGACCAUUGUCCCUUUACCUCUGGCUUCCUUAGUCAGGAAUAUGAGGUUUUAGAACUGUAUCAAAACUGGACUGCAUGAUUGAUUCUGCACCAUUUACCAGCAUUAGACUUGCCAUGACUGUUAGAUGUACUUGAAAGCUGUCCAGCUUCCUAGUCAAUCCUUGCAGGCAACAGAUGUCGGCCCUCUGGGUACUGCCAGUCAGCACAAAUGCCUACUCUCAGGUUUGGAGAAUCGAACUGGGGUGGUCAGGAGCUCCUGAUCCAUUCUCUGCCCAAGCCAACGUUUAAUGUCUCCAAGUGGGUCUGUGAGCUCAGUCACUUCUCUGCAAGGCGUCAGUUAUCCAGUGCAGAAGCCGUGACUGUCUACCCCUGUGUGCACGCGUGGGAGUGCGCUGACGGUGAGUGCAGGCCGGGCAGGGCUCUUCUUAAGUUGGAUUCCAGGAGAGACUGAGUUAGAAAGCUUCUGCCUCUUCCUCAUAGUUCUGUCUCAGAGUCAUUGCUCUGUGGUUCACUUCGGUGUGCCGUGGGGCACAUGUUGUCUGGCUCUGCUGGGCCGUCCAGCGUCUGAACCCCUCGGAUCUGGGGAACCCCCUGCCUCCUGUGUGCCGUGGGGCACACAUCCUCUCUGCUGGGCCGUCCAGCGUCUGAACCCCUCGGAUCUGGGGAACCCCCUGCCUCCUGUGUGCCGUGGGGCACACAUCCUCUUGCUCUGCUGGGCCGUCCUGCAUCUGAACCCCUCGGAUCUGGGGAACGCCCUGCCUCCUGCAAGGACAUCAGAUGCUCGAUCCUCAGCUCCCUAAACUGAGGGCUCAGCUCUGCUAACGGCAUGCUCAUGACUUUUUAAUCAGGAGCCAUAGCUUUUAAACAACAGCAACCAUGGAGAAUUCUGUCUGCUUGAUAAAGGACAUAAAAUCAUGGAGUUUCUGGGUCAGGCGGCGGCAGGAUACGCUGGACGCCUGCUGCUCCCGAGGACAGCUCUUGGCAGGUUCUGUGGUCAGCCGUGGAAUAUGGACUGAGACUGGAGCUGCUCCCGUGCAGAAGGCUCUCAGAACACUCAACCCCUUUUCCGUUCACAUCUCCAGAUAAAAGUUUCUGCAGUUCCAACGGUGACACCAGACUGACGCAUCAAAGCCCAUGGUCCACCAUCAACUGUGGGUCAGGCCGGGCGCAGUGGCUCACACCUGUAAUCCCAGCACUUUGGGAGGCCCAGGU
rnacentral:lncRNA from 1 species